UCCCAAAGUGCUGGGGAUCCAAGCUGUGGAACUUUCUUCAGAUUUCCCUGGAGGACUGCAGGUGCACGAGGGUCGUUUCUGGGCCCAGAGUAGGGCAGCUCUCAGAUUGCAGCUCCUGAGAGCCGUGCGCGACCGUCUCCAGCACUCGCGGACCCCCAGAGGGCUGUUUUUUUUUCUCCAUAGCAUUGAUUGAAUAUAUAUCCUUAUACAUUCCAUAUAUAUCUCAGGAAGAAUACACAAGGAAGUGGUACCAGCGGUUGCCUCUGGGGAAAAGUGGGAAGAUUGAGGGUAAAAUUUCCCUUUUCUCGUGUGUAAUUUUUUUUCACUUUCCUAUCUGCAUGGAUUACCUUAAAAAAAUUCAACAUCAGAGAGUACCCAAGUUUGUGGCACAAGCAUGUACUGAGCACCUGCCCUGUGGCAGGCACCGUGAAGUCCCUGGGGUAGAGAGAAUCCAGAGACGGGGUUUCACCAUUUACUUACCUAGACUGUCUCAAACUGCUGGGCUCAAGCGAUGCACCUGCCUUGGGGGAUUCUUAGUAAAUCUACAGGGCUGUGCAACCAUCACCACAAUCCAGUUUUGGAACACUUAAAUCACCUGGAAAAGAUCCCGCCUGUCCAUCUGCAGCCAAUCCUGGCCAUAACUCCCGAAGCCCCAGGCAGAAUGUACCAAGAUUGCAACAUCCUGAGAUAAAGAGGAACAACCCAGGCUCUCUCCACGAUCCUCCUAGAACAGAUGUCCUGCAACACUUGUGAUCAGUUAAGUCAAGUCCUGGCCAGAGUAUAAAACCCAGAGUUGGGGGGUGGUGUGCUUUCUGAGUCCCUCAGCUGCAGUGUGAAGUGGAGCUCGUGCAGAUGAGACUUCCUCUGUCCUAUGCACCUUUCUUGAGGCUUGGGGACCAGCUCACCGUGGAUCCUAGGCUUCUGUUGGCUUUUGCCGCCUUUCUGGGAGUAAUAAAGUUGCUUUGCCUUA
rnacentral:lncRNA from 1 species